GCCUGGGUGGCUCAGUCGGUUAAGCAUCUGACUUAGGCUCAGGUCAUGAUCUUGCGGUCCGUGGGUUCAAGCCCCGCGUUGGGCU
rnacentral:tRNA from 1 species